rnacentral:rRNA from 1 species
AAAUGAAUUGACGGGGACCCGCACAAGCAGCGGAGCAUGUGGUUUAAUUCGAAGCAACGCGAAGAACCUUACCAGAGCUUGACAUCCCUCUGACCGGUCCUUAAUCGGACCUUUCUUCGGACAGAGGAGACAGGUGGUGCAUGGUUGUCGUCAGCUCGUGUCGUGAGAUGUUGGGUUAAGUCCCGCAACGAGCGCAACCCUUGUCAUUAGUUGCCAUCAUUGAGUUGGGCACUCUAGUGAGACUGCCGGGGAUAACUCGGAGGAAGGUGGGGAUGACGUCAAAUCAUCAUGCCCCUUAUGUUCUGGGCUACACACGUGCUACAAUGGUCGGUACAACGAGAAGCCAGACCGCGAGGUGGAGCAAAUCUCAAAAACCGAUCCCAGUUCGGAUUGCAGGCUGAAACUCGCCUGCAUGAAGUCGGAGUUGCUAGUAAUCGCAGAUCAGAAUGCUGCGGUGAAUGCGUUCCCGGGUCUUGUACACACCGCCCGU